UAGGUUUGCAAUGUUUCAAGAUAAAAAGUUGGGGAAAAAAGAAAUAGAUAUUUAUAGGAAAUAAAAAAUAAAAUAAAUAAAAUUAAAAUAGCAUAUACAAUUUCUAGGAGGAUACGGGAGGAACUGUUGAAUUUCUUCACUUGACUAAACCCGGCAAAUGCUCUGCGCUCUCAGGCGAUCUCCGCGGCGGCUCCGAAGGGGAAAGGCUGGAUCCUCCAAAUCGAAUCCUCUUCCGACUGCCAUGCUGGAAAAGACGUCCUGGGAUUUCAUCCUAAUUAUGUAACAUAUGUUAAAUCCCACUAAACAUUUUACUAAAUCUAACGGUAAGAUUGCCACGGGCGGAGAGUGUUUCCCGGUGUAGAGCUUGGCACAGAGCAGAUGCUCUGUAAGUGUGGGUGAUGAAGGGCCUCGUGGCCUUUAGGACGCGACUACUUAAUUUACUUAUUUGAGAGUCAGAUUAACGAAACUGGGAGGGCUGUGGGUAAUUCGCUUAGUGAAGAACCAGGGCAUCUGCACCCGGAUCGGAGUAAAACGCGUUUUAAACGCGUAAACAGCGUUAAAACGCGCUGUUUCCAUUAUCCUCCUGCUUUUCAAGCUGUUAUUAUCUGGGCAAGUGCUUCCUUUCUCCGCAUUAUGUAUGAGAAACGGCCAGGAAAUGAUGCAAUUACCAAAGGAGUCAAGAAACCUUCCAGCCCAGCCUCAGUUCGGAAGCCCUCAUGAAAUACGAGCAGAAGACAAUAGGAUGAAACUCAGUUUUGAAAGCGUCAGCCGUUACAGUUGGACAAAUGUAACCCUAGAGACCCCGCUCCGGUGCAAAAUGGAAGGAGGCUUAAGUAAAACAGAUAUAAAUUUGUAAUGAACUUGCGCACAACCUCCGGCGCCAUUGUGAAUUACAGCCUUCGUCCAUCACCUAGAAUUUAGGCCUCUGACUGCUGUGGCCUCUCCAGUUGCGGAGCACAGGCUCCAGACGCGCAGGCUCAGUGGCUAUGGCUCACGGGCCCAGCCGCUCCGCGGCAUGUGGGAUCUUCCCGGACCAGGGCACGAACCUGCGUCCCCUGCAUCGGCAGGCGGACUCUCAACCACUGCGCUACCAGGGAAGCCCGCAUACUGGAUUUUUAAGCCUUAGUAUGGAGGGAGGAAGGAAGAAGAAGAAGAAAAAAAAAAAAAAAAAGUAAAAUAUCUCAUUAAUAAUUUUUACAUUGAGCACAUUUUAAAUGCUAAUUGAAUAUGAGUUAAAAUAUUAAAAUUAAUUUCACUUUCUUCUUUGUUUUUAACCUAGCUACUAGAAUAUUUAAAAUUAUUGAUAUAUAGAUAUAUAUGGCUUGCAUUAUAUUUCUAUUUUAUAGUACUAAUCUAGAUUCACCAGUUGUCAAUAUUUUGCCAUAUUUGCUUUCUCUUGAUCUUUUUUCUGAGCCAUUUGAGGUUAGUUGCAGACACCAUGAUACUUUACUUCGAAAAACUAUACCAUAUAUUUCCUAAGAACAAGCAAUACAAUUAUCACACUUAGGAAAUUUAAAUUUAAUACAAUAUUAUUUAUGAUACAGUUCAUAGUCAAAUUUUUCAAUUGUCCUAACACCUUUUAUACUUUUUCAUUUUUAUCCAGGAUCCAUUCAAGGAUUAUACACUGCAUGUAAUUGCCAAGUUUCUGUAGUCUCCUUCCUUUAAUCUGAAACAAUUCCCCAAUUUUUUUUUUUUAUAGCAUUGAAUAGUGGAAGACAUUUGCUUCAGAAAGUCCCUCAAUUUAGACAAGUAUUUCUCUUGUCAGGAAAACUACCUUAAGUGAUAUGUCCUUCUCAGUGCAUUAUAUCAUAAUUCAAAUAAUGCUGAUGUAUUGUGUUAUCUCUAAUGGUAAAUGUGGUAGGCAGAAUAAUGGCUCCCACAGAGAUGUACCUGUCCUAAUCUCCAGAAUAUAUGAAUAUUACUUCACGUGGCAGUAGGAAUUUUGCAGAUGUGUUUAAAUUAAGGAUUUUGAGAGAGAGAUUAGCCUGGAUUAUCUGGGUGGGCCGGAAAUCAUCACAGGGGUCCUUUUCAGUCAAGGAGGGAGACUGGAGGGUUGGAGUCCCAGUGAUGUGAUCCCAGGAAGACUCUACCAGCGUUUAACUGGCUUUGAAGAUGGAGGAAGGGGACCAUGAGCUAAGGAAUGCAAGGGGCCUCUAGAAACUGAAAAAGGCAAGGAAAAUGUUCUCCCUCAGCACCUCCAGAAAGAAAGCAGCUCUGCCAACACCUAGAUUCUGACCCAUGUCAGAAUUCUGGACUACAGAACCGUAAGAUAAUAAAUUUGUGCUGUUGUAAGCCACUAAGUUUGUGGUGAAUUUUUUACAGCACCAAUAGGAAACAAACACAGUAAGUCUGAUCAUUUGGUGAAGGUGUCUGCCAUAUUUCUCCAUUGUAAAGUUACGCUUUACACUUGUGAUUAACAAAUAACAACAACAACAACAACAAAAAGCAAAUAUCACCAUGGAAGUAAUACUUUGAAAAUGUAUGAAUUUUCUGUUCCCCCGCAAAAUUUCACCCAGUGGUUUUAGCAUCCACCGAUGAUGCUUGCCUGAAUCAAUUACUACUCUGUUGACCGCAAAACGGUGUAAUUUUAUUAUUCACCUGUAAAGAACUUUCCUUUCUGUACUCCCUCUUUUUAUUCUUUAUUUAAUUUUAAAAUAUCACUUUGGACUCAUUCUUUUUUUAUUUUUGUGGUUUUAGUCAAUGUGUUAUAAUCUACUGCUGUCAUUAUUAAUACUUAAAUUGUUCCAAAUAUGGCCAGAAGGAGUGUCUGUAAGCUGGCUCCUGUAUUCUUUUGACAUGUCCCUAUAAAUUUUUGAGCAAUUACUUUCUAGCAUAAGAUGGUGCAGGCACACCCUCUACUUUGUAAACUGAUUUAUGGAGAAUUAACAUCUUUAUGCAUGUAUCUUUUCUCUUUUAAUUUCCUUGUUUAAAAUUUUACAUGACCAGGGGCAUACUCUACAUACUCUUCUGUGACCUUUUUUUAAAUUAAUUUCUUUUGAAGCAUGUCCAUUCUUUACAUAAAGAGUUUUUUCAUUAUUUUUGAUAACUGCAUGGUAUUCCAUUGUAUAGAUAUUUUAUUAAAGUAGUUUUAUAUCAUUGGUCAUUUAGAUUAUUUUCAAUUUUUUGCUCUUAACAAAGUACUACAACAAAUAACCUUGGUGCCACAUAAUAGGCAUUUAGUUUUUAUUAAUUGAC